rnacentral:rRNA from 1 species
ACUCAAAUGAAUUGACGGGGGCCCGCACAAGCAGCGGAGCGUGUGGUUUAAUUCGACGCAACGCGAAGAACCUUACCAGGGCUUGACAUGCACAGGAAUGUCGGGGAAACCCGGCAGCCCUUCGGGGCCUGUGCACAGGUGCUGCAUGGCUGUCGUCAGCUCGUGCCGUGAGGUGUUGGGUUAAGUCCCGCAACGAGCGCAACCCCCGCCGCUAGUUGUACUUUUCUAGCGGGACCGCUGCGCGAAACGCAGAGGAAGGUGGGGAUGACGUCAAGUCAGCACGGCCCUUACGUCCUGGGCUACACACACGCUACAAUGGGCGGUACAAUGGGUUGCCAAGCCGCGAGGCGGAGCUAAUCCCAUCAAAACCGUCCUCAGUUCAGAUCGCAGGCUGAAACCCGCCUGCGUGAAGGCGGAGUUGCUAGUAACCGCAGGUCAGCACACUGCGGUGAAUACGUUCCCGGGCCUUGUACACACCGCCCGU